rnacentral:rRNA from 1 species
AGAGUUUGAUCAUGGCUCAGGACGAACGCUGGCGGCGUGCUUAACACAUGCAAGUCGAACGAGAAUCUGUGGAAAGAGGAUUCGUCCAAUUGAAGCAGAGGACAGUGGCGGACGGGUGAGUAACGCGUGAGGAACCUGCCUUUCAGAGGGGGACAACAGUUGGAAACGACUGCUAAUACCGCAUAACAUAUAGAUGUCGCAUGGCAUUUAUAUCAAAGAUUUAUCGCUGAAAGAUGGCCUCGCGUCUGAUUAGCUAGUUGGUGAGGUAACGGCCCACCAAGGCGACGAUCAGUAGCCGGACUGAGAGGUUGAACGGCCACAUUGGGACUGAGAUACGGCCCAGACUCCUACGGGAGGCAGCAGUGGGGAAUAUUGGGCAAUGGGCGCAAGCCUGACCCAGCAACGCCGCGUGAAGGAAGAAGGCUUUCGGGUUGUAAACUUCUUUUGUCAGGGACGAGUAGAAGACGGUACCUGACGAAUAAGCCACGGCUACUACGUGCCAGCAGCCGCGGUAAUACGUAGGUGGCAAGCGUUGUCCGGAUUUACUGGGUGUAAAGGGCGUGUAGCCGGGAGGGCAAGUCAGAUGUGAAAUCCACGGGCUCAACUCGUGAACUGCAUUUGAAACUACUCUUCUUGAGUAUCGGAGAGGCAAUCGGAAUUCCUAGUGUAGCGGUGAAAUGCGUAGAUAUUAGGAGGAACACCAGUGGCGAAGGCGGAUUGCUGGACGACAACUGACGGUGAGGCGCGAAAGCGUGGGGAGCAAACAGGAUUGGAUACCCUGGUAGUCCACGCUGUAAACGAUGAAUACUAGGUGUGCGGGGACUGACCCCCUGCGUGCCGCAGCUAACGCAAUAAGUAUUCCACCUGGGGAGUACGAUCGCAAGGUUGAAACUCAAAGGAAUUGACGGGGGCCCGCACAAGCGGUGGAUUAUGUGGUUUAAUUCGAAGCAACGCGAAGAACCUUACCAGGGCUUGACAUCCUACUAACGAGAUAGAGAUAUGUUAGGUGCCCUUCGGGGAAAGUAGAGACAGGUGGUGCAUGGUUGUCGUCAGCUCGUGUCGUGAGAUGUUGGGUUAAGUCCCGCAACGAGCGCAACCCCUAUUGUUAGUUGCUACGCAAGAGCACUCUAGCGAGACUGCCGUUGACAAAACGGAGGAAGGUGGGGACGACGUCAAAUCAUCAUGCCCCUUAUGUCCUGGGCUACACACGUAAUACAAUGGCGGUCAACAGAGGGAUGCAAAACCGUGAGGUGGAGCGAACCCCUAAAAGCCGUCCCAGUUCAGAUCGUGGGCUGCAACCCGCCCACGUGAAGUCGGAAUCGCUAGUAAUCGCGAUCAGCAUGCCGCGGUGAAUACGUUCCCGGGCCUUGUACGCACCGCCCGUCACACCAUGAGAGUCGGGAACACCCGAAGCCCGUAGCCUAACCGAGAGGAGGGCGCGGUCGAAGGUGGGUUCGAUAAUUGGGGUGAAGUCGUAACAAGGUA